GCAACAGUGGUUUAGUGGUAUAAUUACCGCCUGCCACGCGGUAGACCCGGGUCCGAUUCCCGGCUGUUGCA